UGUUUAUUAUUCUGAUCCCUGAAGUUAAAUCAGAAAAAUUUUGCUCCUGGGACUUCACAAAAUGUAACAUUCCGUGGAAAUGAUCAAUAAAUACAUUGAAUAUAACGAUGAGUCCAGCAUACGAGGGCAAACUUUUUUCGAGGUUGAGCCGUUGGAACACAUGAAUAAUGAUUUAGAACGAAUUGCUACGUUAUUCAGUGGCAUAUUGUGGGUGUCCCUCGCGCUACUGCACUCAACAAUCCUCACUACUACUUACAGUGCAAACUGUUCUAGACGUAAGUAACAGAGACGAACAAGAACGCCAAAUGGAUCCCAAGAUACGGGCCGCGCAGCUGUUGCAGAGUUACAGUUUCUAGGUUUUAUAAAAACGUCCAAGAAGAAGAUUGAUCACGUUACAAAAUUGACCUGGUGAAUCGAAAAUCAAUUACGAAACCGUCCUUGUGAUGGUCUCUAUGAUGUUCAAAACCAACGAAGUUGAAAUUUUAUUGAGCUGCAUUUGCGUAUUGGGAAUGAUAGAUGUUUCCUUCAAAAAGCAACCUUUUUGUCUAUCCUAGUGUUUCCGAAACUCUCCUUUCCUCUGCGGCAGCGCAACGAAACGUCUUUCGCCUUACCAUGUAUUGUCGUGCACUGGCAGGUUAUAGGGAUCAAUUUGGAAAUCACUGGUCUAUCCGUUUUAAGCGAACAAUCAAAUUUGUAUGGUAAUUGGUAACCAAAUUAAGUUUUCAUGUAUAAUUGUGAAUUGUAUGCCA